ensembl:lncRNA
AAAUCACAGGCUGUUCCAACUUGUUCCAGCUGCUGCAACUCAUAAUGUGACUCAGUAGUGUGUAUGGCCCUCACGUGCUUGUAUGCACUCCCGACAACAUCUGGGCAUGCUCCUGAUGAGACAGCGGAUGGUGCCCUGGGGGAUCUCCUCCCAGACCUGGAUCAGGGCAUCAGUGAGCUCCUAGACAGUCUGUGGCCCUACUUGGCGGAGUCGGAUGCACCGAUACAUAACGUCCCAGAGGUUCUCAAUUGGAUUCAGGUCUGGAGAACAUGAUGGCCAAUCAACCCAGGGCCCACUGCACCAGCAUAAGUACUGUCACAUGUGUUCAGUGUGAACUUGCUCUCAUCUGUGAAGAGAACUGGCAUCAAUGGCGGACCUGCGAAUGCCAAUCGAGCUGCACGGUGCUGGGCUGGCUCUGGGAGUGCACCUCCUGUUCCUCAUCGCAUAAAGGAGAUAACAGUCCUGCUGCUGGGUUGAUGCCAUUUUACGGCCCUUUUCAGCUCUCCCUGAGUAACAGCCCGUCUCUUGGUAUCUCGUCCAUGCUCUUGAGCCUGUCCUGGAAGACACAACAAAUCUUCUUGCGAUGGCACGUAUGGGUGUGCCAUCCUGAUGGAUCUGGACUGCUUGUGCAACCUGAAAGCGCUGCAGGUACCGCCUCAUGGUACCAGUAGUGACAAGGACACUAGCAAAACACAAAACUAGAGAAGAAUCAGUCAGGAAGGAAACAAGAGAGAGGUUGUCUGUGGCCACCACCUGCAAAACCAUUCCCUUUUUGGGAGUAAUCUUGCUUUUGUCUCUCCAGUGCACCUGUUGUCACCUUAAUUUCCACCAAAACAGGUGACAUUGAUUCACAAUCGCUUAUGCUUCCUAACUAGACAGAAUUGAUGUCCCUGAAGUUUCAUUUACUUGGUGUUAUGCUGUGAUAAUUAUGUGUUCCCUUAUUUUUUUGAGCAGUGUACAAUGGGAAAUGAGCACUUAAUUCAGUAGCUAUAUUUCAGCGGAUUGAAUGAAGCUGUCCUAUUGUAUGUUAAAACAGUUAAUGUGUAUGCUGGCCCCUCAUCACACAUGUGAGGCCAUAGUCCCUGGUCAGGCGAAACAAAUAAUAAUCUGCAUUUAGCAUACAGUAUGAACUUCUGAGAAAUGUUAUAGCAUAGUUGAAACGUUAUACUUCUGCUGAUGUACAUAAACACACUCUAGCAUAAAU